UACGUAGGGUGCAAGCGUUGUCCGGAAUUAUUGGGCGUAAAGAGCUCGUAGGCGGUCUGUUACGUCGGCUGUGAAAACCUGGGGCUCAACUCCGGGCCUGCAGCCGAUACGGGCAGACUAGAGUUCGGCAGGGGAGACUGGAAUUCCUGGUGUAGCGGUGAAAUGCGCAGAUAUCAGGAGGAACACCGGUGGCGAAGGCGGGUCUCUGGGCAGUAACUGACGCUGAGGAGCGAAAGCGUGGGGAGCGAACAGG
rnacentral:rRNA from 1 species